rfam:Helicobacter apodemus strain MIT-03-7007 CONTIG_174, whole genome shotgun sequence.
AUAAAGGCUUUAUUAAAAGCUAUUAAAAAACUACAGCAACAAGACUU